rnacentral:rRNA from 1 species
AUUGAACGCUGGCGGCAGGCCUAACACAUGCAAGUCGAGCGGAUGAAGGGAGCUUGCUCCUGGAUUCAGCGGCGGACGGGUGAGUAAUGCCUAGGAAUCUGCCUGGUAGUGGGGGAUAACGUCCGGAAACGGGCGCUAAUACCGCAUACGUCCUGAGGGAGAAAGUGGGGGAUCUUCGGACCUCACGCUAUCAGAUGAGCCUAGGUCGGAUUAGCUAGUUGGUGGGGUAAAGGCCUACCAAGGCGACGAUCCGUAACUGGUCUGAGAGGAGGAUAAGUCACACUGGAACGGAGACACGGACAGGGGUCCUACGGGAGGCACCAGUGGGGAAUAUUGGACAGUGGGCGAAAGCAUGACCCAGCCAGGCGGAGUGUGAGAAGAAGGUCUCGGGAUGGUAAAGAACUUUAAGUUGGGGGAAAGGGCAUUAAGUUAAUACCUUGCUGUUUUGACGUUAACAACAAAAUAAGCACCGGCUAACUUCGUG